UGUGUGUUAAUGUAGGGAAAACACUCAAAUGUGCAUGACAGUGCGUUCUCCAGGACCAGGAUUGGGAACUUCAUCCAGUUAACCUUAACAUGUUCAGGAAAGCUGGAUAUACAGUAAAACACUACUCUAUUCUACUUUCGUGUUUAUCGAUCGCAAGUGGAGGCAGCACAUAAGGUUUUACUUUUACGGACCAAAGAUGGAGACGACCCGUUAUACUGUCACAUCCCACAAUGCCGUGCAAGAUGAGUGAUAUGAUAUGACGGGAGCCUGGAGCUUGUCCCAGGGAACUCGGGGCACAAGAUGGAGGACAAACUGGACGGGCACAAUCACACACAUAGUCACACACCCAUUCGCACACUACGGACAAUAUCGGAAAUGCCUAUCAGCCUACAACGCAUGACUUUGAACUAGGGGAGGAAACCGGAGUACCGGAGGAAACCCUCGAAAGCAGGAUUCGAUUCCCCAACCCCGAAAGUCCGAGGCAACGUGCUAAAAUAAUGAUUGACUGCAUGGCCCAGACCUCUGUUACCACUAAGCUGAUCAUUUUCCAAUAUCAGUACAUCCUGAAAUGUUUUGUUCCAUGCAUAGUACAACAAUUCACCACCAAUUUUUACAGUGAAAAUCUAGCUUCAUUUCCUGUUGUGGAACUUCCACAAAACAGGUUGGUUCCUGUUAUCCUGUUAACCGUUCCUAUUUUUCUUUCUCAUCUUACAGAGAAACCGCAAAGUGUCGGAAAAUUUAAAGCUAAAGCUUUACCUCUGACUUUUAUUACUGGAGACUCCUUCCAAAAAAAAAAAAAUGGUGAAUAAACAUUUCCUCACAGAAAACUUCACCAUAUCGACAAUUACACAAGGGUUUUCUGAAAGAGCUUCCGCAGAGUUAGGCAAAGAAAAACAAAGGUUGUCCACUUUAGAAAACAGUGAGUCAUUUGGGAGUCUAAAGAGUCGACUCAUGUUGAACUGACUCACCGAAAUGAG
ensembl:lncRNA